rnacentral:rRNA from 1 species
UAUCUCUGUAGAGUCUGCAUAUCAAUAAGCGGAGGAAAAGAAACUAACUAGGAUUCCCUUAGUAACGGCGAGUGAAGCGGGAAGAGCUCAAAUUUGAAAUCUUCAAGGUUUUACCUUGACGAAUUGUAGUUUAAAGAAGUGUUUUCUGUUGAGUGUUUCGGUAAAAGUUCUUUGGAAUAGGACAUCAUAGAGGGUGAGAAUCCCGUAUUUGACCGUUAUUAUUCUAGCUGUGUGAUACACUUUCAAAGAGUCGGAUUGUUUGGGAAUGCAGUCCAAAAUGGGUGGUAAAUUUCAUCUAAAGCUAAAUAUUGGCGAGAGACCGAUAGCGAACAAGUACCGUGAGGGAAAGAUGAAAAGAACUUUGAAAAGAGAGUUAAACAGUACGUGAAAUUGUCAAAAGGGAAGCGUUUGACACCAGUGUUGUUUUCUCGAAAAUCAAUUAAAAAUGGCUUGAUUUUGUGUUGUAUUGACCUUAAAAGCUUUCUUCACUUUUUUCAUGUCUUUUUUAAUGCACUUUUCGUUUAACAAGUCAACAUCAGUUUCUUUUGUUAUAAAAAGGUCAUUGGAAGGUGGCUUUCUUUUCGGAGAAAGUGUUUAUAGCCUUUGACUUCUGCAAUCGGAGAGACUGAGGUCUGCAGCGUAGAUCCUUCUGGAUUAGAUUCAUUUGUGCUAAGUUACAACCGUUUAUAGACAACUUGUUGACUAUAUUCGAUCCUGUUAGCUUACUCGCUUAUGUAAUUUUACCUACGCUUAGGAUGUUGAAGAUGUAGCACAUCAU